rnacentral:rRNA from 1 species
GAGUUUGAUCCUGGCUCAGAACGAACGCUGGCGGCGUGCCUAACACAUGCAAGUCGAACGUGAUCCAGAGCUUGCUCUGGUGAAAGUGGCGCACGGGUGAGUAACGCGUGGAUAACCUACCCUGGUAUCCGGGAUAACAUUCCGAAAGGGGUGCUAAUACCGGAUAAGCCCACAGGCUCUUUGGAGCUUGCGGGAAAAGGUGGCCUCUAUUUAUAAGCUACUGUAUCAGGAUGGGUCCGCGUACCAUUAGCUAGUUGGCGGUGUAACGGACCACCAAGGCGACGAUGGUUAGCUGGUCUGAGAGGAUGAUCAGCCACACUGGAACUGAGACACGGUCCAGACUCCUACGGGAGGCAGCAGUGGGGAAUUUUGCGCAAUGGGGGAAACCCUGACGCAGCAACGCCGCGUGAGUGAUGAAGGCCUUUGGGUCGUAAAGCUCUGUCAGAGGGGAAGAAAUGAUAUAGUGCUAAUACCACUUUAUCUUGACGGUACCCUCAAAGGAAGCACCGGCUAACUCCGUGCCAGCAGCCGCGGUAAUAC